CAAAACAAUUAUAAUGGAAAACCUGGGACUAGAGGCAGAGGUUCCCGCCAGCUUCAAAAGGGCAACAAUCACACCAGUGUCCAAAAAGAGCAGCGAGAGCUGCCUCAAUGACUAUCACCCAGUUCCACUCAUAUCUGAUGAAGGGUCUCGGCCCAAAAUGUCGACAGCGCUUCUCCCUGUAGAUGCUGCCUGCCCUGCUGCGUUCCACCAGCAUUUUGUGUGUCCAUCUACUGUGAUGAAGUGCUUUGAGAGGUUGGUCCUGGCUAGAAUUGAUUCUUGCCUAAGCAAGGAGCUGGACCUGCUGCAAUUUGCCUAUCCCCGCAAUAGGUCUACAGCGGACGCAAUCUCACUGGCUCUCCACUCGGCCUUGGAUCACCUGGACAAUAGCAAUAUCUAUGCCAUGCUGCUGUUUAUAAACUACAGUUCAGUGUUCAACACAAUCAUACUCCCACUUCUAAUCAACAAGCUUCAAAUUCUGGGCUUCUAUACGUGCAACUGGAUCCUCAACUUCCCCACUGGGAGACCACAGUCUGUUUGGAUCGGGAAUGUCCUCUCCCCACUGACAACCAGCACUGCGUAUUUCAAGGAUGCGUGCUUACCCCACUACUCUACUCUCUCUACAAAUUUGCUGAGGAUAUAACUAUCGCUGGCAGAUUUUGAGAUGGUGAUGAGGAGGCAUACAAGACCAAGAUAGAUUAGCUGGUUGAGUGGUGUCACAGCAAUAACCUUCAUGUCAGUAAGACCAAGGAAUCGAUUGUGGACUUCUGGAAGGUGAAGUCAACAGUCCUCAUCAAGGGAUCAGAAGUGGAACUGGUGGGUAGUUUCAAGUUCCUGCGUAUCAAUACCACCGAGGCCCAACAUAUUGAAGCAAUUACAGAGAAGGCAUGAUAGCAGCUAUAUUUCAUUGGCCUUGUGAAAGAUACAUCAAGCCAGAACAUCAAGACAGCAAGUCUGGCUGUCGGAGGCCUCUGCACUCAGGUGAUCUCUCUCGAUGCUGAGUGAGGGUUGCUGCUGAUUCUUAAGGCAGGGGAAACUUGAAAUAAAAACAGUGCUAUAGACUGUAACAUCGAAACAAAUCCCAGGAAAAGUGGGAGGAAUGCUGCCUUUCACUCACGCAUCUUCAGUAACUUUCCGCAGGCUUAAAGAGGCAUGAUGAUAAACCUGAAAUUCUGGAUAUCUAGAGGUCAAUAAAGGAAUCACUGAAAUACCUCCAUCCAAAGCAGAACAACAAAAACCUGCAGACGCAGGAAAUGGAACUGUAGUCGGUUUAUUAUUGUCACGUGUACUGAGGUACAGUGAAAAGUUUGUCUUGCGAACUCUGCAUACAUAUCAAACGUGCCAUAGCCUCUGCCCUCCAGUCUGUACUGUCCCUCCUGGAAAAUGAUGUCAGCUUAUGCCAGGAUGCUGUUUACUGACUUCAGCUUGAUAUUUAAUGUGGUCAUCCCUCAGAAGCUGGUGGAUAAAGUGUCCUCAACUCUCUCUGUAACUGGAUCUUGGACCUUGACAGGAAGACAACAGUCAGUCCAUGUUGGCCACCACAUCUCACCGCACAUAAAUGGCUCUUCUAUGAAGAGUUACGAGCACUACAAGUGUCUGGUCUGGGAGUGCACAUAAUGGACAAUCUCAUCUGGUCCUUCAACACCACAUAAAUCAAGAAAGCACAGCAGCAUCUCCACUUCCUGAGGAGAUUGAAACGAGUGAUGCUCCCUCACUAGUUCUGAACAAUUUUUACAGGAGCAUUAUUGAGCAUGUCCUGACCAGCUGCAGUACAGUGCAAGAUUGUUUAAUGUCAUUUUCUGUAGACAAAUAUAAAAAAGAAUGAAACCAUUGUUUCUCUUGAUCUGAUGCAGCACAAAAAAUACACAAUAAAUAGAAAUAUAAAAGAUAGAGGAGGGGUGGAUUAGUGGGUGGAGGUGCUGAUCAGCCUUUGUGUUUGAAGAAAGUAACUUUUUUUGAGCCUGGUGUGGAUGCUACGUAGCCUCCUCGCUGAUGAGGGUAGGACAAACAGUCCAUGAGCAUGGUGUCCUUCCCAGCCAUCCAACAAUCUCCUUGACACCUACCAUCAAGCAAGAGGUACCAUAGCAUUAGGACAAGGACGGAUGCUCGUGUGGUAUCCCUCUCUUUCGAUGAAUGUCGGUGAUAUCGUAGGAUGGUAUCAUGGUUCUGCAUUUAUGGAUUGGACUGUGGAUAUUUCCAGACCUGAGGUUUUAUAUCACCCAUUCCUUUUCUGUUUUGUUGAGCCAGGGGAGGGUUGAUGUUCUGUUGUCUUCUGUUAGUUUUUGUGCAGGGAGUAGGGGUCAAUGUUCUUGUUCCGUUUUGUGCAGGGAGAGGGGUCUUGAGGGUGGGGGCUGACAACCAUGAUGCCAUUCUCUUUUGUAUGGUAGGGGGAUUGAUGUUUCUCUUUGAAGGACUUUUAUGUUCUUUUAUUGCUUCGUGGCUAUCUGGAGAGUAGAAAUUUCAGGGUUGUAUAUGGAUACACGUUUUGAUAAUAAAUGAACGUGAAACUCCCGGCCACCACCCAGGUCUCAUCACGUACAAAGUGCCAGUAGCAUUAUACUGUUUAUUGCAUCAUAAACACAUCUUAUGAUAAAUGUCAGUCUUCAGGA